rnacentral:rRNA from 1 species
AACGAAACGCUGGCGGCAUGCCCUAACACAUGCAAGUCGAACGAACCCUUCGGGGUUAGUGGCGCACGGGUGCGUAACGCGUGGGAACCUGCCUUUAGGUUCGGAAUAACUCAGAGAAAUUUGAGCUAAUACCGGAUGAUGUCUUCGGACCAAAGAUUUAUCGCCUUUAGAUGGGCCCGCGUUAGAUUAGAUAGUUGGUGGGGUAAUGGCCUACCAAGUCGACGAUCUAUAGCUGGUCUGAGAGGAUGAUCAGCCACACUGGGACUGAGACACGGCCCAGACUCCUACGGGAGGCAGCAGUGGGGAAUAUUGGACAAUGGGCGAAAGCCUGAUCCAGCAAUGACGCGUGAGUGAUGAAGGCCUUAGGGUUGUAAAGCUCUUUUACCAGGGAUGAUAGUGACAGUACCUGGAGAAUAAGCUCCGGCUAACUCCGUG